GAAUGGCGUCCACCUGCCAAGGGUGAAGAGC
rnacentral:piRNA from 1 species